UCCUCUCUGCCACAGACUCAUGUUACAUCAGUACACAAUGACACAGCAGCAGUGGCUCACAGGAAGAAGGUGUUUGCUGAGGCAACAUUGGACCUUCAGCAGGAACAGUCCUGGGAUCAGAUCCGCUGCUUAUACCGAGGACCAUCCAGGCUGUCCAUCCUUUCAGAAGUCUC